rnacentral:ncRNA from 2 species
CCUGCUGUUACGUCAGCAGUUUCCUAUCUAGACAUGCGAUCCGAGCAAUCAGGUGGUGUGAAGCUCUAGAGACAAUAUAGCCACAGGAGAACUGUAGGAAGCCUCGUGAGAAGCAACUGAAACUGCUAGCACUAAGCAGUGAGG